GUCAAACUAGAAAAACAGCAUGAACGAGCCAUUUUUUAGGCCAAAUCGAUGGGUGCUGGCCCAUUGUUCUGGGGGUGUACCAAAGGCAUGUGCAUAUUAAGGGACAAAAAUCGACUAGCGGCUCCCAAACAAGCUAAGGGCAAGGAAGGGUGGGCCAACAGAGUUGAUGGGGCUGUUUAGGAGGUUAAAUGAGUAAAACAAUGUGAAUGGGCUAUUUUCGGGGCACAUUGGUGGGUGUUAGCCCACAAUUCUCGGGGUAUGCCGGGACUCAGGUAUAUUUUGGGCUAAAAAAUAAUCGAGGGAUCCUAAGCAAGCUGAGGAGCAGAGAAGGUGGACCGGCGGGGUCGAUGGUCCUGUUUGGGUGAUCGAACGCUCAAAACAGUGCGAAUGGGCCAUUUUCAAGCUAAAUUGGUAGGUGUUAGCCCAUGA
rnacentral:lncRNA from 1 species